AUUGAACGCUGGCGGCAGGCCUAACACAUGCAAGUCGAGCGAGCGGCGGACGGGUGAGUAACGUCUGGGAAACUGCCCGAUGGAGGGGGAUAACUCCUGGAAACGGUAGCUAAUACCGCACACCACCAGAGGUGCCAGGUUGGGAUUAGCUAGUGUGUGGGUGAACGGCUCACCUAGGCGACGAUUCCUAGCUGGUCUGAGAGGAUGACCAGCCACACUGGAACUGAGACACGGUCCAGACUCCUACGGGAGGCAGCAGUGGGGAAUAUUGCACAAUGGGCGCAAGCCGGAUGCAGCCAUGCCGCGUGUGUGAAGAAGGCCUUCGGGUUGUAAAGCACUUUCAGCGGGGAGGCGUUACCCGCAGAAGAAGCACCGGCUAACUCCGUGCCAGCAGCCGCGGUAAUAC
rnacentral:rRNA from 1 species